UAAGCAAUAUAACCCUGUGGCAACAUUUGUAAAAGUGACUCUGAGAAGACAGAAAGAUCCUCUAUGAGAGACUGGUGUCCCCAGGAAUUGGCGAGGCCUGCUGAGGAUCAUUUGGGUAAAUGUCAUGGUCACGCGGCCCCAUUCUCUUCGCUGAGCUCCGGAUUUCCGUAGCCAAUUGUCUGCUGGACAUUCCUCCCUGAUACAUCUCACAGGAUUUUUAUGUGUAUGGUCAUUUCAAGUGAAUUUUGUAUACAGAGCAAGAGUCCAGCAUCCACGUGCACUCCUGACCAGGACGUAGAGAGAGGCCCUCCAGGAGGUGUGCAAAGUGGCGUGGAUUUGGGACAGCGAUUUGACAGUAUCUGAGAAAGUUAAAACUCUGCAUCCCCAACACACAGCAAGCCCUGCAGCGGUAAGUCUGGGUCACAGUGAAGGCUCAGGACAACCCCAACCAUCCAGGGAGGAACAGCUAAUAAGAAUGGCACCCUUGCUGGAAAGUGUAUG
rnacentral:lncRNA from 1 species